CCUACGGGAGGCAGCAGUGAGGAAUAUUGGUCAAUGGACGAGAGUCUGAACCAGCCAAGUAGCGUGAAGGAUGACUGCCCUAUGGGUUGUAAACUUCUUUUAUAUGGGAAUAAAAUGUUCCACGUGUGGGAUUUUGUAUGUACAAUAUGAAUAAGGAUCGGCUAACUCCGUGCCAGCAGCCGCGGUAAUACGGAGGAUCCGAGCGUUAUCCGGAUUUAUUGGGUUUAAAGGGAGCGUAGGUGGAUUGUUAAGUCAGUUGUGAAAGUUUGCGGCUCAACCGUAAAAUUGCAGUUGAAACUGGCAGUCUUGAGUACAGUAGAGGUAGGCGGAAUUCGUGGUGUAGCGGUGAAAUGCUUAGAUAUCACGAAGAACUCCGAUUGCGAAGGCAGUUCACUGGACUGCAACUGACACUGAGGCUCGAAAGUGUGGGUAUCAAACAGGAUUAGAUACCCGAGUAGUC
rnacentral:rRNA from 1 species